rnacentral:tRNA from 1 species
GGGGAUUUAGCUCAGCGGUAGAGCGCUUGCCUAGCAGGUGCAAGGCCCUGGGUUCCAUCCCCAGCUCCG